GACGAACGCUGGCGGCGUGCCUAAUACAUGCAAGUAGAACGCUGAAGAGAGGAGCUUGCUCUUCUUGGAUGAGUUGCGAACGGGUGAGUAACGCGUAGGUAACCUGCCUUGUAGCGGGGGAUAACUAUUGGAAACGAUAGCUAAUACCGCAUAACAAUGGAUGACACAUGUCAUUUAUUUGAAAGGGGCAAUUGUUCCACUACAAGAUGGACCUGCGUUGUAUUAGCUAGUAGGUGAGGUAAUGGCUCACCUAGGCGACGAUACAUAGCCGACCUGAGAGGGUGAUCGGCCACACUGGGACUGAGACACGGCCCAGACUCCUACGGGAGGCAGCAGUAGGGAAUCUUCGGCAAUGGGGGCAACCCUGACCGAGCAACGCCGCGUGAGUGAAGAAGGUUUUCGGAUCGUAAAGCUCGGUUGUAAGUCAAGAACGGGUGUGAGAGUGGAAAGUUCACACUGUGACGGUAGCUUACCAGAAAGAGACGGCUAACUACGUG
rnacentral:rRNA from 1 species